UACGUAGGGGGCAAGCGUUGUCCGGAUUUAUUGGGCGUAAAGAGCGUGUAGGCGGCCAUACUAGGUCCGUUGUGAAAACUCGAGGCUUAAACCUCCGGAGACGUCGACGGAAACCGUAUGGCUAGAGUCCGGAAGAGGAGAGUGGAAUUCCGUGGUGUAGCGGUGAAAUGCGCAGAUAUCAGGAAGAACACCCGUGGCGAAGGCGGCUCUCUGGGACGGUACUGACGCUGAGACGCGAAAGCGUGGGGAGCGAACAGG
rnacentral:rRNA from 1 species